rnacentral:lncRNA from 1 species
UUUUGUUCUUGAAAGAGGAAAAAAAAUCAAGUCAAGUCAUACAAAAUAUUUCAUACCAAUUGUGACAAAUGAUAAACAUGAAAACUCUUAAUGAUAAAAAAUCCAAUGGAAUAAGAAAUGAAUAAAACAUAUUUGCUAAUAGUUUUUAGAAACUUGAAAGUUAAUCAAACAUUCCCGGUAUUAAUUGACUUGCAAACAACCAAACUAAUAAAGCCUUCACUGUU